rnacentral:other from 1 species
UCGGAGCUGCGACGUACGUCAGGACACACAUAUCCCCGGGGCCUUAUCGAUCUUGAGGGAGCUGUCCCUGCCCUUGUCCGUGGACUUGGGCACCACGGCGCCCACCUACUUAGGUAGGUUCCCGGGAUCGAUCGUCCAACGGCAGAGUGGCUCCACU